UGAAUUUUCGAGACCUUUGGCACCGUUCUAAGAUGGGUCCUCUCUUCGUAGGCUAAUGCAUUGGCCCUUUUUGACCCGUUUUGGGGCGAAAACAAAAACUGACUCCCGGGCAUAUUUUUUUUCGGCCUUUAUGGGCAGAGAACUUUAAUGCCGCUCAGAAUGAGGCCACCCAGUAGUUAGGUGUGAAUUUUCGAGACCUUUGGCACCGUUCUAAGAUGGGUCCUCUCUUCGUAGGCUAAUGCAUUGGCCCUUUUUGACCCGUUUUGGGGCGAAAACAAAAACUGACUCCCGGGCAUAUUUUUUUCGGCCUUUAUGGGCAGAGAACUUUAAUGCCGCUCAGAAUGAGGCCACCCAGUAGUUAGGUGUGAAUUUUCGAGACCUCUGGCACCGUUCUAAGAUGGGUCCUCUCUUCGUAGGCUAAUGCAUUGGCCCUUUUUGACCCGUUUUGGGGCGAAAACAAAAACUGACUCCCGGGCAUAUUUUUUUCGGCCUUUAUGGGCAGAGAACUUUAAUGCCGCUCAGAAUGAGGCCACCCAGUAGUUAGGUGUGAAUUUUCGAGACCUCUGGCACCGUUCUAAGAUGGGUCCUCUCUUCGUAGGCUAAUGCAUUGGCCCUUUUUGACCCGUUUUGGGGCGAAAACAAAAACUGACUCCCGGGCAUAUUUUUUUCGGCCUUUAUGGGCAGAGAACUUUAAUGCCGCUCAGAAUGAGGCCACCCAGUAGUUAGGUGUGAAUUUUCGAGACCUCUGGCACCGUUCUAAGAUGGGUCCUCUCUUCGUAGGCUAAUGCAUUGGCCCUUUUUGACCCGUUUUGGGGCGAAAACAAAAACUGACUCCCGGGCAUAUUUUUUUCGGCCUUUAUGGGCAGAGAACUUUAAUGCCGCUCAGAAUGAGGCCACCCAGUAGUUAGGUGUGAAUUUUCGAGACCUCUGGCACCGUUCUAAGAUGGGUCCUCUCUUCGUAGGCUAAUGCAUUGGCCCUUUUUGACCCGUUUUGGGGCGAAAACAAAAACUGACUCCCGGGCAUAUUUUUUUCGGCCUUUAUGGGCAGAGAACUUUAAUGCCGCUCAGAAUGAGGCCACCCAGUAGUUAGGUGUGAAUUUUCGAGACCUCUGGCACCGUUCUAAGAUGGGUCCUCUCUUCGUAGGCUAAUGCAUUGGCCCUUUUUGACCCGUUUUGGGGCGAAAACAAAAACUGACUCCCGGGCAUAUUUUUUUCGGCCUUUAUGGGCAGAGAACUUUAAUGCCGCUCAGAAUGAGGCCACCCAGUAGUUAGGUGUGAAUUUUCGAGACCUCUGGCACCGUUCUAAGAUGGGUCCUCUCUUCGUAGGCUAAUGCAUUGGCCCUUUUUGACCCGUUUUGGGGCGAAAACAAAAACUGACUCCCGGGCAUAUUUUUUUCGGCCUUUAUGGGCAGAGAACUUUAAUGCCGCUCAGAAUGAGGCCACCCAGUAGUUAGGUGUGAAUUUUCGAGACCUCUGGCACCGUUCUAAGAUGGGUCCUCUCUUCGUAGGCUAAUGCAUUGGCCCUUUUUGACCCGUUUUGGGGCGAAAACAAAAACUGACUCCCGGGCAUAUUUUUUUCGGCCUUUAUGGGCAGAGAACUUUAAUGCCGCUCAGAAUGAGGCCACCCAGUAGUUAGGUGUGAAUUUUCGAGACCUCUGGCACCGUUCUAAGAUGGGUCCUCUCUUCGUAGGCUAAUGCAUUGGCCCUUUUUGACCCGUUUUGGGGCGAAAACAAAAACUGACUCCCGGGCAUAUUUUUUUCGGCCUUUAUGGGCAGAGAACUUUAAUGCCGCUCAGAAUGAGGCCACCCAGUAGUUAGGUGUGAAUUUUCGAGACCUCUGGCACCGUUCUAAGAUGGGUCCUCUCUUCGUAGGCUAAUGCAUUGGCCCUUUUUGACCCGUUUUGGGGCGAAAACAAAAACUGACUCCCGGGCAUAUUUUUUUCGGCCUUUUAUGGGCAGAGAACUUUAAUGCCGCUCAGAAUGAGGCCACCCAGUAGUUAGGUGUGAAUUUUCGAGACCUCUGGCACCGUUCUAAGAUGGGUCCUCUCUUCGUAGGCUAAUGCAUUGGCCCUU
rnacentral:lncRNA from 1 species